rnacentral:tRNA from 1 species
GGUUUCAUAGUCAUGGGUGAUUUUAGAUUGCAAAUCUGAAGGGGAAUAAUUUUUAUUUUGAAACUU